rnacentral:rRNA from 1 species
UGGAAGCGUCUGGAAAGGCGCGCGAUACAGGGUGACAGCCCCGUACACAAAAAUGCACAUGCUGUGAGCUCGAUGAGUAGGGCGGGACACGUGGUAUCCUGUCUGAAUAUGGGGGGACCAUCCUCCAAGGCUAAAUACUCCUGACUGACCGAUAGUGAACCAGUACCGUGAGGGAAAGGCGAAAAGAACCCCGGCGAGGGGAGUGAAAAAGAACCUGAAACCGUGUACGUACAAGCAGUGGGAGCACGCUUAGGCGUGUGACUGCGUACCUUUUGUAUAAUGGGUCAGCGACUUAUAUUCUGUAGCAAGGUUAACCGAAUAGGGGAGCCGAAGGGAAACCGAGUCUUAACUGGGCGUUAAGUUGCAGGGUAUAGACCCGAAACCCGGUGAUCUAGCCAUGGGCAGGUUGAAGGUUGGGUAACACUAACUGGAGGACCGAACCGACUAAUGUUGAAAAAUUAGCGGAUGACUUGUGGCUGGGGGUGAAAGGCCAAUCAAACCGGGAGAUAGCUGGUUCUCCCCGAAAGCUAUUUAGGUAGCGCCUCGUGAAUUCAUCUCCGGGGGUAGAGCACUGUUUCGGCAAGGGGGUCAUCCCGACUUACCAACCCGAUGCAAACUGCGAAUACCGGAGAAUGUUAUCACGGGAGACACACGGCGGGUGCUAACGUCCGUCGUGAAGAGGGAAACAACCCAGACCGCCAGCUAAGGUCCCAAAGUCAUGGUUAAGUGGGAAACGAUGUGGGAAGGCCCAGACAGCCAGGAUGUUGGCUUAGAAGCAGCCAUCAUUUAAAGAAAGCGUAAUAGCUCACUGGUCGAGUCGGCCUGCGCGGAAGAUGUAACGGGGCUAAACCAUGCACCGAAGCUGCGGCAGCGACGCUUAUGCGUUGUUGGGUAGGGGAGCGUUCUGUAAGCCUGUGAAGGUGUGCUGUGAGGCAUGCUGGAGGUAUCAGAAGUGCGAAUGCUGACAUAAGUAACGAUAAAGCGGGUGAAAAGCCCGCUCGCCGGAAGACCAAGGGUUCCUGUCCAACGUUAAUCGGGGCAGGGUGAGUCGACCCCUAAGGCGAGG